CCUCUCGAUCGCCCGAUUCUUGAGCGCGCACCUCUCUACUUCCUGAUCUCCCGAUUCCUCCCAACGAGAAACCGUGGAACGAGCCCUUCCUCUCCGAUUGCCCAAUAAAACCUAGAGAGAGCUCAUCCUUUACCCUCCUUCAAUGCAGAAACCAUUCGGCGUACUCCCGAUUGCUCUAUGCGAUUGCUCUAUGCUGUAUGUCGUGCCCUUCUUAAUUGGAGGCUGUUGGAGGGUUUUGAUCGAAGGAGGUAAUCUAUAUAUUCGUGUUCAUCGAUCUUCAAAUUUUUUGGACAAAGUGACUGCAGUACUUUAUUCAGAAGGAUGAGCUUCACGAGACCUAGGAUGUUUCCAUGAUGGGACCAGAGACCUUCAAACCCUAGAUUCAGACACCAUUUCAAAUGGAUCUAAGGUUGAAAGGUUCUUAGUUCCUAUAUCUAAUAGCUAGGAUAGCAGUAAUUUAUUUGAGGAGGAUGAGCUUCAAGAGUCUUAGGAUGUUUCAAUGAUGAGACCAGAGACCAUGAAACCUUAGAUUCAGACACCAUUUCGUAAGUAGAUCAGGUGGAUCUAAGGUCGAAAGGCAGCACGGUGGAUGUAAGGUCCAUGAUAAAAUUGCCUCGUCAAGCCAAAAUCAAGUGAUCCUCAGAUCUGAGCCGAAUUACUUUGAGUAGUAAUCCCGUAUUCUCUUUUAGAAACCAAUUGCUGUACAUCUCUUUUCAUAACUCUUUUUCUUUCCAUAACCUAUUUCUCUUUCCUGAAUAUCUGCUCUGCAUAAAGUUUUGUAAUGCAAUCGAUUGAUAAAUUUACAGUUGCAUCGUAUAUUGCAAACA